rnacentral:rRNA from 1 species
CCGGCGACCGGCGCACGGGUGAGUAACACGUAUGGAACCUGCCCGCAGCAGGGGGAUAAGCGGAAGAAAUUCCGUCUAAUACCGCGUAACACCGCGGAGGGGCAUCCCUCGGCGGUUAAAGAUUUAUCGGCUGCGGAUGGCCAUGCGGCGCAUUAGCUAGUCGGCGGGGUAACGGCCCACCGAGGCGACGAUGCGUAGGGGUUCUGAGAGGAAGGUCCCCCACACUGGUACUGAGACACGGACCAGACUCCUACGGAAGGCAGCAG